rnacentral:rRNA from 1 species
GAUGAACGCUGGCGGCGUGCCUAAUACAUGCAAGUAGAACGCUGAAGGAAGGAGCUUGCUCUUUCCGGAUGAGUUGCGAACGGGUGAGUAACGCGUAGGUAACCUGCCUGGUAGCGGGGGAUAACUAUUGGAAACGAUAGCUAAUACCGCAUAACAGUAGAUGUUGCAUGAUAUCUACUUAAAAGGUGCAAUUGCACCACUACCAGAUGGACCUGCGUUGUAUUAGCUAGUUGGUGAGGUAACGGCUCACCAAGGCGACGAUACAUAGCCGACCUGAGAGGGUGAUCGGCCACACUGGGACUGAGACACGGCCCAGACUCCUACGGGAGGCAGCAGUAGGGAAUCUUCGGCAAUGGACGGAAGUCUGACCGAGCAACGCCGCGGGAGUGAAGAAGGGUGUCGGAUCGUAAAGCUCUGUUGUAAGAGAAGAACGAGUGUGAGAGUGGAAAGUUCACACUGUGACGGUAUCUUACCAGAAAGGGACGGCUAACUACGUG